CAAACAUGCUAUUAACAUUCAUACUAAUAUAGCAAUACUAGCUAUAAUUGCACUUCAUGAAUGUUUUGUCUGUAGAAAUCUAAUGUAUUCACAAUGAACAAUUUCCAAUUAUUGUUUUUUUUUCUUAUAGAAAGUCCAAAACCCCUGGUGAAAGUUUCAAUUAUCUUGAGGUGUACAUCUGAACCAUCCACAAGACCAUCAUUUUUUUUCUAUAGUAGGAAAUUUGCAGCUGCUCAAGUACUAUGAAAUGUGACAUAUUUGACUUUCACCUCUCCACUUUUGAACCUUCCAAAAAUAUCUGCAAAAAAGAAAUGUUUUAAGCCCCUCCCCACCCCACCUACCCCCCCUUUUUUUUUUAACUCUCUACCUGAAGCAGGAGAAAUAUUAGGAAAUUUACCCUCACUCUCAACAGCUCUCACACAAGCCUUCAAGAAGCUACAUUUAUAAGAGAAGCAUGAACUGAGCACUGGAGAGCUGCAGAGGUCACGGUGUAUGACAGUCAACUUUAUACAUUCACACUUCAGGCAUCUUAUUCUAACUAACUGCAUAAGCCUGAUUGGUUCCUUAGAAAACAUGGCACCGACUUUAAGUGAGACAUUUCUAUUUUAGUGUAGCCAGACUACAUGGGAGUCUGUUCCUCUACCAUUUAGUGAUAUAGAUACUUUCAGUAUUAUUGCUAACUGACUCUUGAGGUAUAAGAGCCUUAAUUAUGUUGGUUUAAUAUUUUAUGCUUAAAUAUUGUUAUUUAUAAACUAACAGUGGGAAAUGCUACAACUUCCCCGUGUUUUUUAUUUCAAUGCUAUAAUAAAAUAUGAUAUUGUUGAUUGAGGGUUACAUUUUAUUAAUGAUACCUGUAAUUAGGAUUAUGAUUUAAAAUAUUUAGUCUUUAUCUACACAUUACAGGAGUGAGCAAUCUUUAAAGACCUCUCUUCCCAACCACCACCUUUUUCUAAUUUGAACCCAUAACUUUAGCAACCACAAAGACAGGGACUAAGGUGUAAUAUCAUAUCUGGGUAUAACUCGCACACAAACAUACAAAUUACCUUGUUCAUCAAGGGCUAUGCCUACAAAACCCUCCAUGACAUCACAGUAUUUAGCAUUCUACAUAGACAAAAAUAAUGUGACAUUUAUUUGCAAGUUAUUAAGAAAAAUGUGUAAACUAUAUGCCACUAACACUUCUAUUUCUCAUAUUUUUUCCUCAGUGAGAGAAAAAAAAGAUUCAUGCUCAGGCUUUAUGAAUACAGAAACUUCGUCUGGGUCAUUGAUUCAUCCCUGGAACCUAUAAGUGAUGCCAAGAAUAUAGUAUCAGCUCACUGACUACUUUUUAGGAUAGUUGGUUCUCUUCCUUCUCAGUUGUUUCUCCCGACAAAAGUUCCCAGCCUCUAGCAUCAGAGCAGCCUUUGCUGGAGUCAUAGAAGCCAUCACUAGAGAAUACACCAAAUGUAUUCAAUUUGAAGGCAUCAUCACCUCCCUCGGCCAAUCACAGGAUUCCCAGAAAGUGUUGAAUAGCAGUGAUGAAAAGCAGGCUGUCUCAUUCCUGAUGUCAAAGAGAAAGCUUUCAGUAUUUCACCAAUAUGUAUGAAGCUGCUAUAGGGUUUUGUUUUUUUGAGAUGGAGUCUUGCUCUAUCACCCAGGCUGGAGUGCAGUGGCGCAAUCUCAGCUGACUGCAGCCCCCACCUCCCAAGUUCAAGUGAUUCUCCUGCCUCAGCCUCCUGAGUAGCUGGGACCAUAGGCAUGCGCCACCACACCCAGCUAAUUUUUUGUUUUCUGAAGACAUAUAUUUUCAGAUUAAAGAAGUUACCUCUAUUCCUAAGUUUUCUUAAUAAUCAUUGGAUCUUGUCAAGUGUUUGUUCUGUAUCUUCUAAGAUAAUCAUAUUUUUUCUUUAUUCUUUCAUGUUAUAAGUUACCUUAAUAUUAAAGCAACUUUGGUGUAAAAGUAACUUGAUUGAGAUAUAUGUAUAUUGUUUUAUAAAUCAAUAGAUUUAAUUUGCAAAUGUUUUAUUUAGAAUUUUUGCAUCUUAGUUCACAGAAAGAUUGAGUAUACUUUCUUACAAUGUCUUUGUUACGUUUGGGUAUGAAGGUUAUGUUGGCCUUAUAAAACACGUUAAGCAGAAUUACUCUUUUUCUACUCUCUGGGAUAAUUUAAGAAUGAUGCUUUUUUAAAUGAAGGUUUGAGCAUCUAGGCUUAGCGAUUUCCAUUUGGGAAGAUAUUCAACUUAUUUUAAUGGUUAUAAGACUACUCAGAUUUUCCAUAUCUUGUUGUAUUAUUCUUGCUAAGCUUUUAUUUUCUAGCACUUUGUCCAUUUUAUCUACCUCUUCAAAAUUAUUCACAUAAAGUUCUUUGUAAUAUCCUCCUAUUUUCUUACUAAUUUUGUAGAAUCUGCAGUGAUGUCCCCUUUUUCAUUUCUGAUAGUAGUAAUUUUGUGCCUUCACUCUUUUUCUUUCCCCAAUCAGUCUUGCUAGAAGCUUAUCAAUUUGUUAAUCUUUCCAAAUAACCAAAUUUGGCAUUUUUUAUUCUAUUGUAUGUUUGUUUUUUACUCCUUUAAUUUCUGUUUUCAUCUUCAUUUUUUCCUUUUUUUUUUUUUUACAUUCUCUGGGCCCAAUUUUCUGUAGCAUUUCUAAUUUCUUUAAAAUGACACUUUGAUCAUGACUUUUUCAGUGAAAUAAUAUAAGCAUUUUAAGGCUAAAAAUUUUCCUUUCUGCAUGGUUUUAGUUAUAUUCUACAAUAAGUUGUGCUGUAUCGUAUUUUCAUUAUCAUUCAGCUGAAAAUAUUUUCUAGUUUUCAUUGUACUGUCCUCUUUGACCUUUGUGUAAUUAGUAGUGUAUUUCCAAACCUUUGGGCAUUUUAUUGUUAUUGCUCUGUUGUUAUUUAGCUUAACUGCACUGAGGCCUAAGAACAUAUCUGUACAAUUUUUAUCUUGUAAAAUGUGUCAAGAAAUGCUAUAUGGUUCUGCAUAUGUGCAAUAUUGAUGAUGUUCCAUGCUCUGCAGUUGCUGGUUACAGUAUUCUAUCUGUGG
rnacentral:lncRNA from 1 species